rnacentral:rRNA from 1 species
GAUGAACGCUAGCGGCAGGCCUAAUACAUGCAAGUCGAACGAAGUGGCGCACGGGUGCGUAACGCGUGAGCACCCUCCCUCUGUCAGGGGGUAACUCCGGCGAAAGUCGGAUUAACCCCCCAUGGACAGAGAUCGGUUCGCGUGACAUUAGCUAGUUGGAGAGGUAACGGCUCACCAAGGAUACGAUGUCUAGGGGCUCUGAGAGGCGAAUCCCCCACACUUGUACUGAGACACGGACCACACUCCUACGGGGGGGAGCGGUAUGGAAGACUAGUGAAUGGAGGGAACUCUAGACCAGCCACGUGGGGGGCAGGAUGACUGCCUAUGGGUGGUAAACUGCUUUUGACGAGUAAUAGGUACCCGAAGAAUAAGGAUCGGCUAACUCCGUGCCAGCCGCCGCGGUAAUAC